UACAGAGGCCCCAAGCGUUACUGAGAAUCACUGGGUUUAAAGGGUGCGUAGGUGGCGCGUUAAGUCCGUUGUGAAAGCCCUGGGCUCAACCCAGGAACUGCUUCGGAUACUGGCGCGCUUGAGGCUAGUAGGGGUCACUGGAACUGACGGUGGAGCGGUGAAAUGCGUAGAUAUCAGGAGGAACACCGGUGGCGAAGGCGGUUCUCUGGGCAUUACCUGACGCUGAGGAGCGAAAGUGUGGGGAGCGAACAGG
rnacentral:rRNA from 1 species